rnacentral:rRNA from 1 species
CAUGGCUCAGGAUGAACGCUAGCUAUAGGCUUAACACAUGCAAGUCGAGGGGAAACGGCAUUAUGUGCUUGCACAUUUUGGACGUCGACCGGCGCACGGGUGAGUAUCGCGUAUCCAACCUGCCCUUUACUUGGGGAUACCCCGUUGAAAGACGGCCUAAUACCCGAUGUAAUUCAUUGAUGGCAUCAGAUAUGAAUAAAAGAUUUAUCGGUAAAGGAUGGGGAUGCGUCUGAUUAGCUUGUUGGUGAGGUAAAGGCUCACCAAGGCAACGAUCAGUAGGGGUUCUGAGAGGAAGGUCCCCCACAUUGGAACUGAGACACGGUCCAAACUCCUACGG